CCAAACUUGGUCAUUUAGAGGAAGUAAAAGUCGUAACAAGGUUUCCGUAGGUGAACCUGCGGAAGGAUCAUUAUUGAAUUGUGUUUUCUGGAUGGGUUGUAGCUGGCCCCUUGGGGCAUGUGCACGCCUGUUUGGACUUCAUUUUUUCAUCCACCUGUGCACCUAUUGUAGUCUUUGUCAUGGGGAGGGUAUCGAGGAAGUGGCUGUCAGCUUGUUUGCUGGAUGUGAGGACUUGCAGCAUUGCUGUCCUUGAUUGGCUGCAGAAUCGGUAUCAUUUUCCUGUCAGAGUCUAUGUUCAUUCAUUAUACUCCUGUAGAAUGUGAUUGAAUGUCUUUAUCUGGGCUUGUAUGCCUAUGAAAAUUGUAUACAACUUUCAGCAACGGAUCUCUUGGCUCUCGCAUCGAUGAAGAACGCAGC
rnacentral:misc_RNA from 1 species